rnacentral:SRP_RNA from 1 species
GCCGGGCGCAGUGGUGCAUGCCUGUAGUUCCAGCUACUCGGGAGGCUGAGGUGGGGGGAUCGCUUGAGCCCAGGAGUUCUGGGCUGUAGUGCGCUAUGCCAAUUGGGUGUCUGCACUAAGUCCAGCAUCAAUAUGGUGACUUCCCGGGAGCGGGGGACCACCAGGUUGCCUAAGCAGGGGUGAACCGGCCCAGGUCAGAAACGGAGCAGGUCAAAACUCCUGUGCUGAUCAGUAGUGGGAUCGCGCCUGUGAAUAGCCACUGCACUCCAGCCUGGGCGACAUAGUGAGACUCCGUCUCU